UUAAGCGACUAAGCGUACACGGUGGAUGCCCUGGCAGUCAGAGGCGAUGAAGGACGUGCUAAUCUGCGAUAAGCGUCGGUGAGGUGAUAUGAACCGUUAUAACCGGCGAUUUCCGAAUGGGGAAACCCAGUGUGUUUCGACACACUAUCAUUAACUGAAUCCAUAGGUUAAUGAGGCGAACCGGGGGAACUGAAACAUCUAAGUACCCCGAGGAAAAGAAAUCAACCGAGAUUCCCCCAGUAGCGGCGAGCGAACGGGGAGGAGCCCAGAGCCUGAAUCAGUGUGUGUGUUAGUGGAAGCGUCUGGAAAGGCGCGCGAUACAGGGUGACAGCCCCGUACACAAAAAUGCACAUAUUGUGAGCUCGAUGAGUAGGGCGGGACACGUGGUAUCCUGUCUGAAUAUGGGGGGACCAUCCUCCAAGGCUAAAUACUCCUGACUGACCGAUAGUGAACCAGUACCGUGAGGGAAAGGCGAAAAGAACCCCGGCGAGGGGAGUGAAAAAGAACCUGAAACCGUGUACGUACAAGCAGUGGGAGCCUCUUAAUGGGGUGACUGCGUACCUUUUGUAUAAUGGGUCAGCGACUUAUAUUCUGUAGCAAGGUUAACCGAAUAGGGGAGCCGAAGGGAAACCGAGUCUUAACUGGGCGUUAAGUUGCAGGGUAUAGACCCGAAACCCGGUGAUCUAGCCAUGGGCAGGUUGAAGGUUGGGUAACACUAACUGGAGGACCGAACCGACUAAUGUUGAAAAAUUAGCGGAUGACUUGUGGCUGGGGGUGAAAGGCCAAUCAAACCGGGAGAUAGCUGGUUCUCCCCGAAAACUAUUUAGGUAGCGCCUCGUGAAUUCAUCUCCGGGGGUAGAGCACUGUUUCGGCAAGGGGGUCAUCCCGACUUACCAACCCGAUGCAAACUGCGAAUACCGGAGAAUGUUAUCACGGGAGACACACGGCGGGUGCUAACGUCCGUCGUGAAGAGGGAAACAACCCAGACCGCCAGCUAAGGUCCCAAAGUCAUGGUUAAGUGGGAAACGAUGUGGGAAGGCCCAGACAGCCAGGAUGUUGGCUUAGAAGCAGCCAUCAUUUAAAGAAAGCGUAAUAGCUCACUGGUCGAGUCGGCCUGCGCGGAAGAUGUAACGGGGCUAAACCAUGCACCGAAGCUGCGGCAGCGACGCUUAUGCGUUGUUGGGUAGGGGAGCGUUCUGUAAGCCUGUGAAGGUGUGCUGUGAGGCAUGCUGGAGGUAUCAGAAGUGCGAAUGCUGACAUAAGUAACGAUAAAGCGGGUGAAAAGCCCGCUCGCCGGAAGACCAAGGGUUCCUGUCCAACGUUAAUCGGGGCAGGGUGAGUCGACCCCUAAGGCGAGGCCGAAAGGCGUAGUCGAUGGGAAACAGGUUAAUAUUCCUGUACUUGGUGUUACUGCGAAGGGGGGACGGAGAAGGCUAUGUUGGCCGGGCGACGGUUGUCCCGGUUUAAGCGUGUAGGCUGGUUUUCCAGGCAAAUCCGGAAAACCAAGGCUGAGGCGUGAUGACGAGGCACUACGGUGCUGAAGCAACAAAUGCCCUGCUUCCAGGAAAAGCCUCUAAGCAUCAGGUAACAUCAAAUCGUACCCCAAACCGACACAGGUGGUCAGGUAGAGAAUACCAAGGCGCUUGAGAGAACUCGGGUGAAGGAACUAGGCAAAAUGGUGCCGUAACUUCGGGAGAAGGCACGCUGAUAUGUAGGUGAAGCGACUUGCUCGUGGAGCUGAAAUCAGUCGAAGAUACCAGCUGGCUGCAACUGUUUAUUAAAAACACAGCACUGUGCAAACACGAAAGUGGACGUAUACGGUGUGACGCCUGCCCGGUGCCGGAAGGUUAAUUGAUGGGGUUAGCGGUAACGCGAAGCUCUUGAUCGAAGCCCCGGUAAACGGCGGCCGUAACUAUAACGGUCCUAAGGUAGCGAAAUUCCUUGUCGGGUAAGUUCCGACCUGCACGAAUGGCGUAAUGAUGGCCAGGCUGUCUCCACCCGAGACUCAGUGAAAUUGAACUCGCUGUGAAGAUGCAGUGUACCCGCGGCAAGACGGAAAGACCCCGUGAACCUUUACUAUAGCUUGACACUGAACAUUGAGCCUUGAUGUGUAGGAUAGGUGGGAGGCUUUGAAGUGUGGACGCCAGUCUGCAUGGAGCCGACCUUGAAAUACCACCCUUUAAUGUUUGAUGUUCUAACGUUGGCCCGUAAUCCGGGUUGCGGACAGUGUCUGGUGGGUAGUUUGACUGGGGCGGUCUCCUCCUAAAGAGUAACGGAGGAGCACGAAGGUUGGCUAAUCCUGGUCGGACAUCAGGAGGUUAGUGCAAUGGCAUAAGCCAGCUUGACUGCGAGCGUGACGGCGCGAGCAGGUGCGAAAGCAGGUCAUAGUGAUCCGGUGGUUCUGAAUGGAAGGGCCAUCGCUCAACGGAUAAAAGGUACUCCGGGGAUAACAGGCUGAUACCGCCCAAGAGUUCAUAUCGACGGCGGUGUUUGGCACCUCGAUGUCGGCUCAUCACAUCCUGGGGCUGAAGUAGGUCCCAAGGGUAUGGCUGUUCGCCAUUUAAAGUGGUACGCGAGCUGGGUUUAGAACGUCGUGAGACAGUUCGGUCCCUAUCUGCCGUGGGCGCUGGAGAACUGAGGGGGGCUGCUCCUAGUACGAGAGGACCGGAGUGGACGCAUCACUGGUGUUCGGGUUGUCAUGCCAAUGGCACUGCCCGGUAGCUAAAUGCGGAAGAGAUAAGUGCUGAAAGCAUCUAAGCACGAAACUUGCCCCGAGAUGAGUUCUCCCUGAGACUUAGAGUCUCCUGAAGGAACGUUGAAGACGACGACGUUGAUAGGCCGGGUGUGUAAGCGCAGCGAUGCGUUGAGCUAACCGGUACUAAUGAACCGUGAGGCUUAACCUU
rnacentral:rRNA from 1 species